AUUGAACGCUGGCGGAAUGCUUUACACAUGCAAGUCGAACGGCAGCACGGACUUCGGUCUGGUGGCGAGUGGCGAACGGGUGAGUAAUGUAUCGGAACGUGCCCAGUCGUGGGGGCUAACGUAGUGAAAAUUACGCUAAUACCGCAUACGAUCUAUGGAUGAAAGCGGGAGAUCGCAAGACCUCGCGCGAUUGGAGCGGCCGAUAUCAGAUUAGGUAGUUGGUGGGGUAAAGGCCCACCAAGCCAACGACCUGUAGCCGGUCUGAGAGGAGGACCAGCCACACUGGAACUGAGACACGGUCCAGACUCCUACGGGAGGCAGCAGUGGGGAAUUUUGGACAAUGGGCGAAAGCCUGAUCCAGCCAUUCCGCGUGCAGGAUGAAGGCCCUCGGGUUGUAAACUGCUUUUGUACAGAACGAAAAGGUUUCUACUAAUACUAGGAGCUCAUGACGGUACUGUAAGAAUAAGCACCGGCUAACUACGUGCCAGCCGCCACCGUAA
rnacentral:rRNA from 1 species